GGUGGGAGACAGAGAAGCCAGGACGCCAGUCUUGGCGGAGUCGCCCUUGGGAUACCACCCUUGUCGUACUGAAGUUCUAACCCGCACCCCUGAUCGGGGUGGGAGACCGUGUCAGGUGGGCAGUUUGACUGGGGCGGUCGCCUCCCAAAGAGUAACGGAGGCGCCCAAAGGUUCCCUCAGAAUGGUUGGAAAUCAUUCGAAGAGUGUAAAGGCAGAAGGGAGCUUGACUGCGAGACCUACAAGUCGAGCAGGGACGAAAGUCGGGCUUAGUGAUCCGGUGGUUCCGCAUGGAAGGGCCAUCGCUCAACGGAUAAAAGCUACCCCGGGGAUAACAGGCUUAUCUCCCCCAAGAGUCCACAUCGACGGGGAGGUUUGGCACCUCGAUGUCGGCUCAUCGCAUCCUGGGGCUGUAGUCGGUCCCAAGGGUUGGGCUGUUCGCCCAUUAAAGCGGUACGCGAGCUGGGUUCAGAACGUCGUGAGACAGUUCGGUCCCUAUCCGUCGCGGGCGCAGGAAAUUUGAGAGGAGCUGUCCUUAGUACGAGAGGACCGGGAUGGACGCACCGCUGGUGUACCAGUUGUCCUGCCAAGGGCACCGCUGGGUAGCUAUGUGCGGAAGGGAUAAGCGCUGAAAGCAUCUAAGCGUGAAGCCCCCCUCAAGAUGAGAUUUCCCAUUGCAUAAGCAAGUAAGAUCCCUCGAAGAUGACGAGGUAGAUAGGUCCGAGGUGGAAGCGUGGCGACACGUGCAGCUGACGGAUACUAAUCGAUCGAGGACUUAACCAAU
rnacentral:rRNA from 1 species